UGAAGAGUUUGAUCAUGGCUCAGAUUGAACGCUGGCGGCAGGCCUAACACAUGCAAGUCGAACGGUAACAGGAAGCAGCUUGCUGCUUUGCUGACGAGUGGCGGACGGGUGAGUAAUGUCUGGGAAACUGCCUGAUGGAGGGGGAUAACUACUGGAAACGGUGGCUAAUACCGCAUAACGUCGCAAGACCAAAGAGGGGGACCUUCGGGCCUCUUGCCAUCAGAUGUGCCCAGAUGGGAUUAGCUUGUUGGUGAGGUAACGGCUCACCAAGGCGACGAUCCCUAGCUGGUCUGAGAGGAUGACCAGCCACACUGGAACUGAGACACGGUCCAGACUCCUACGGGAGGCAGCAGUGGGGAAUAUUGCACAAUGGGCGCAAGCCUGAUGCAGCCAUGCCGCGUGUAUGAAGAAGGCCUUCGGGUUGUAAAGUACUUUCAGCGGGGAGGAAGGUGUUGUGGUUAAUAACCGCAGCAAUUGACGUUACCCGCAGAAGAAGCACCGGCUAACUCCGUGCCAGCAGCCGCGGUAAUACGGAGGGUGCAAGCGUUAAUCGGAAUUACUGGGCGUAAAGCGCACGCAGGCGGUCUGUCAAGUCGGAUGUGAAAUCCCCGGGCUCAACCUGGGAACUGCAUUCGAAACUGGCAGGCUUGAGUCUUGUAGAGGGGGGUAGAAUUCCAGGUGUAGCGGUGAAAUGCGUAGAGAUCUGGAGGAAUACCGGUGGCGAAGGCGGCCCCCUGGACAAAGACUGACGCUCAGGUGCGAAAGCGUGGGGAGCAAACAGGAUUAGAUACCCUGGUAGUCCACGCCGUAAACGAUGUCUACUUGGAGGUUGUGCCCUUGAGGCGUGGCUUCCGGAGCUAACGCGUUAAGUAGACCGCCUGGGGAGUACGGCCGCAAGGUUAAAACUCAAAUGAAUUGACGGGGGCCCGCACAAGCGGUGGAGCAUGUGGUUUAAUUCGAUGCAACGCGAAGAACCUUACCUGGUCUUGACAUCCACAGAACUUUCCAGAGAUGGAUUGGUGCCUUCGGGAACUGUGAGACAGGUGCUGCAUGGCUGUCGUCAGCUCGUGUUGUGAAAUGUUGGGUUAAGUCCCGCAACGAGCGCAACCCUUAUCCUUUGUUGCCAGCGGUCCGGCCGGGAACUCAAAGGAGACUGCCAGUGAUAAACUGGAGGAAGGUGGGGAUGACGUCAAGUCAUCAUGGCCCUUACGACCAGGGCUACACACGUGCUACAAUGGCGCAUACAAAGAGAAGCGACCUCGCGAGAGCAAGCGGACCUCAUAAAGUGCGUCGUAGUCCGGAUUGGAGUCUGCAACUCGACUCCAUGAAGUCGGAAUCGCUAGUAAUCGUGGAUCAGAAUGCCACGGUGAAUACGUUCCCGGGCCUUGUACACACCGCCCGUCACACCAUGGGAGUGGGUUGCAAAAGAAGUAGGUAGCUUAACCUUCGGGAGGGCGCUUACCACUUUGUGAUUCAUGACUGGGGUGAAGUCGUAACAAGGUAACCGUAGGGGAACCUGCGGUUGGAUCACCUCCUUACCUUAAAGAAGC
rnacentral:rRNA from 2 species